rnacentral:piRNA from 1 species
GGUAUUAGUAGACAAGUCAGAAGCCAA